rnacentral:rRNA from 1 species
UACACUCCUGCGGGAGGCAGCAGUGGGGAAUUUUGGACAAUGGGCGAAAGCCUGAUCCAGCCAUGCCGCGUGCAGGAUGAAGGCCUUCGGGUUGUAAACUGCUUUUGUACGGAACGAAACGGCCUUUUCUAAUAAAGAGGGCUAAUGACGGUACCGUAAGAAUAAGCACCGGCUAACUACGUGCCAGCAGCCGCGGUAAUACGUAGGGUGCAAGCGUUAAUCGGAAUUACUGGGCGUAAAGCGUGCGCAGGCGGUUAUGUAAGACAGUUGUGAAAUCCCCGGGCUCAACCUGGGAACUGCAUCUGUGACUGCAUAGCUAGAGUACGGUAGAGGGGGAUGGAAUUCCGCGUGUAGCAGUGAAAUGCGUAGAUAUGCGGAGGAACACCGAUGGCGAAGGCAAUCCCCUGGACCUGUACUGACGCUCAUGCACGAAAGCGUGGGGAGCAAACAGGAUUAGAUACCCUUGUAGUCCCAUGA